rnacentral:rRNA from 1 species
UCGCCUGUUUAUCAAAAACAUAGCUAGUUGGGAUGUAUAAUUAGUGGUUUCUGCUCAAUGAUUUGUUCAAUAGCCGCAGUACCCUGACUGUGCAAAGGUAGCAUAAUCAAUUGGCUCAUAAUUGGAGUCUGGAAUGAAGGAAAGAUUAAGAAAUAACUGUCUCUAAGUAAUUAUCAAAAAUUAAUUAUAAAGUGCAAAUGCUUUUUAAUAAAUAUUAGACGAGAAGACCCUAGAAAUUUUUUGUUGGAUACAUGAACAUUUUGUUGGGGCGACAAAGUAACAAACUAUUAACUUACUUAUUUUGUUUGAAGUAUAUAUACAGUAAGAAUAAAUUACUCUAGGGAUAACAGCAUAAUUUUAAGCAAGUUUGUGACCUCGAUGUUGGAUUAGGGAAAGUAUAGGUUUAGAAGGUAUAUACUUAAGCUCUGUUCGAGCAUUAUUUCCUACGUGAUCUGAGUUCAGACCGGA